UGAGGAAUUUUCUGCAAUGGGCGAAAGCCUGACAGAGCAAUACCGCGUGAGGGAAGAAGGCUUACUGAGUUGUAAACCUCUGUUACCUAAGGAGGAAGAUCUGACGUUACUUAGGAGACGAAGCAUCGGCUAACUCCGUGCCAGCAGCCGCGGUAAGACGGAGGAUGCAAGUGUUAUCCGGAAUUACUGGGCGUAAAGCGUCUGCAGGUGGUUUCUUAAGUCCACUGUUAAACCUUGAGGCUCAACCUCAAUUCAGCAAUGGAAACUGGGAAACUUGAGUAUAGUAGGGGUAGAGGGAAUUUCCAGUGGAGCGGUGAAAUGCGUAGAUAUUGGAAAGAACACCGAUGGCGAAGGCACUCUACUGGGCUAUUACUGACACUCAGAGACGAAAGCUAGGGGAGCAAAUGGG
rnacentral:rRNA from 1 species